UGCAAAUAGCCAUUACAUUAUAACGUAGUCGUUUUGUUUAUUGAAAAAUAACACAUCCACUUUGACUCGGGAGCUUGGGGUAAGAGUUAUUUCUUCAAUGUGUUUAGGUACAACAACUAUUAUUAUAGAGGACGAAGCUAUCCCAACUCCACUACAUGUCCACGGAGCACUGCAGGUCUACCCCUUUGUUGGAAGCACGUUGGUGUGGAGUUUGCAAAAGUGGAAGCCUUAUCUGCCUGCGUGGUUCGAUCCUGUGGCUCUGCUGGCCUGUUGCUUCUCUCCCAAGCUACUCCACAGCCCUGGACCUCCCUCCACUCGCUCCAACUUUCACCCCACCCACAAGGCUUAUCACCCCCCACUUUUACUUCCAAUGCCGCCUCCUGCAGCAGGCAUUCCACUUCUCAUAUCCAGGGUGUGUGUGUGUGCGUGUUGCGCCCCCUCUUCACCCUGCCCCUCUUUUCAUGGGGGAUGGGUGUCUGAGGGGUC